CGUAAUGGGCGGGCCGUGCGUGGGAGCCUUCGGGCUCGCCGGUCCUUCCCCGGUACGCCAACCCGCACGGUUCCGCCCUCCCUG
rnacentral:antisense_RNA from 2 species